AGGAAUUUUGGACAAUGAGCGCAAGCUUGAUCCAGCCAUGUCGCCUGGGUGAAUAAAGAAGGCUAUUUUGGUUGUAAAACCCUAACCUUGCUUUUGAUUAUGACAUAGGGCAAGGGAACAGUCCCGGCUAACUUCGUGCCAGCAGCCGCGGUAAUACGAAGGGGGCUAGCGUUGCUCGGAAUGACUGGGCGUAAAGGGCGCGUAGGCGGCUUGUACAGUCAGAUGUGAAAUUCCCGGGCUUAACCUGGGGGCUGCAUUUGAUACGUGCGGGCUAGAGUGUGAAAGAGGGUCGUGGAAUUCCCAGUGUAGAGGUGAAAUUCGUAGAUAUUGGGAAGAACACCGGUGGCGAAGGCGGCGACCUGGUUCAUGACUGACGCUGAGGCGCGAAAGCGUGGGGAGCAAA
rnacentral:rRNA from 1 species